GUAGGCACUCGCAGUUCCUCCGCCUUCAGGAAGGUCUUUUUAGCAGGGGCCUUACGGGUGCGCGCUUCGGUCCUGGAGGCCUUAUCCUAGCCUCCUCUCUCCAUCAGCGCCACCCGUCUGGGGCCCAAAAGGAGGGAGCUUUACCUCUGUCCCCCAGCCUUUGGAGUGUCACCAAACAAGCCAUUCGUUCACCAAAUACUUAUUAAGUGCCUGACAACGGAGAUGUAACGAAAUUGCCUGUUUGCUCCACUCUGGUUGAAGAAACCAGUCUGACUGUCUCUGAGGCUAUGGAGCAGUCCAUCAAGAAUGAAAGCCCUCUGCCAGGCACGUUGGCUCACACCUGUAAUACCAGCACUUUGGGAGGCCGAGGCAGGUGGAUCACUUGAGGUCAGGAGUUCGACACCAGCAUGGCCAACAUGGUGAAACCCUGUCUCUACAGAAAAUAAUACUUUGCAAGGCCUCAGAAACUCUGCUAUCCACAGGCAGGUGAGAUAUUACCUUCCCUACCACCUGGCAGUCAUAGUCUAUGACACGAUUCAGCUUUAUGGAAGUGCUUCUCUAAAGAACUUCCCCCAAUUUAAGAUGAUCUUAAUUUGCUUACUUGUUUACUGUCCAUUUAGCUGCUCUAAAAUAUGAGCUCCAAAUCAGGGGCCAUGUCUGGUUGGUUACCCAUUUCCUGGGACCUAGAACGGGCCUAGCUCAGAGCAGGUGCUCACUAUUGAUGGAAUGCAUGUUGAAAGAAUGCGUGAAUCUCAUCUCCUUUUGUGGGUGAAAAACUCAUCCUAUUCUCACCCUGAUUAACUUCCUUUUUUUUCCAAAAUGGAGCCGUGAUCUGUCACCCAGCCUGGAGUGCAAUGGUGUGAUGGCUUGCUGCAACCUCUGCCUUCUGGAUUAAAACAAUUCUCCUGCCUCAGCCUCCUGGGUAGCUGGGAUUACCGGUGCAUGCCACCACGCCCGGCUAAUGUUUUGUAUUUUAAAUAGAGACAGGGUUUCACCAUGUUGGCCAGGCUGGUCUCGAACUCCUGACCUCGUGAUCCACCCACUUUGGCCUCCCAAAGUCCUGGGAUUACAGGCAUGAGCCACCGUACCCAGCCUGUCUUGAUUAACUUAAUGGAAAUAUUUACAGAGAUUCUUUCUCUUCUGGGUUCUAGCGUCUUAUGUGUAACCUCUGCAGGUAAUACAUUUUCCUUCCUGAUGAUAGCAUUUCUAUGGUUGCUUUAACUUGCAAAUCCUCUAAUACUUAUUUAUUCCAUUUCUGAUUGGCAUUAGACAUAAUUCUCAAUUUUUAGUGACAGCACUUUGUUUAACUUACAUAUAAAUCGACUUUGCCUUGAAAUGUGACAUUGACUAGAAGGAUGAAACUUCAAACAUUCUGUACAACAUAGUUUGACUGGCUAAUUUAUUAUUUAGAAGAAGUUAAUAUUGCCAUUAUGAGGGACUUAGGUGGCUCUGAAGAACCAGUUGCAUUUCUAAUGUUUGCAAUGUUAAAUCACAGAUAUUGCCAACAUGAAAUAGUUUCCAUAUGCUGUGUUCUCAAUACACACCAUUUCCAAAGAUAUCCCAAGCUGUAGUCUUAGGAAACUGUGAUUUUUCUUAUUUCAUCUCAUAGGAAUUUGGGGAGCUAUGGGGGAUCUCCAUAAAAUGAGCUCCAGAAAGACACAUGUGUGCACACACACACACUCACACAUGAACCACACCACAAUUGACUCUGUUUAUUUGGGACCCAUGAUUAUCAGAAGUGCUAUUUUCAACAAAUACUUCUGAGAAAUAAUCUGAACACUUAAUUGGAUGCAAAAGAGUGGCUAUUUACUAUUCUACCCUUUAUUUAGCAUAAUCAGUGUUUCCAGCAGCAAAAGCAAUUGGAAAAUCGAUAGUUUUAUUAGGUUCAUUAUUCUCCCUUAGCGUAGUGUGGCAUCAGCAUGGCUAUUAUUCUUAAACUGCCUCUUUAAAACAAGGGCUUGUGCUUCUUCCAGGCAAUUCCUAACUCUUGGGUUUUGUAGAGGGUCCAAAACUCUUUAGAACCUAUAAUUCAAGGAAAGGCUCCACUUUGGUUUUGCAUUUUGUCUGGUCUCUUUCGGUGACAGAAUUUAUAUCACAAGGUGCACAUAUUUUGGGGAGGCUAUGGACAGCCCAUUGCACUUGUGCUUUGGUAGGAAGUACGUGCCGUUAAGGGGAAGGAGUUAGUUACUGAUUCUAGGGAACAAUUGGGUAGAAAGAGAUGGACUCCCUGUAUUUGAAAUUCAGAACUCAAGCUUGGCUCUAAGUGUUUCCUUGCUUUGCUGUGCUCCAAGCGAGUCACUGAGCAGAAGGAAGCGAGUUGCCUGAGAUUCCUCAAAGCCCGCAGCCCUUUUGGAGGUUACAUUGUUAUUCUCAGAGCCUUUAUGAUCUAUAAUAAAGACCUAGCUUGGACCAAUAUUAGGAUGAGUUAUCUUGCUAUGAACAUUUUUUAGGUAGAAGUUGCUGGUCCCAUCUUGCUCACAAUCCUCCAAAGUUUGGAAGUUACUUUCCAGGAGACUUAGCUUGCACUGAGAGCUGCCCUCCCACCCUCUCUCCAAAUUUCCUCUUGGGAGUAGCCUAACAAGGUGCUGUCACAGACCCUUGCCAGCCACGAUGACCCCACCCAGACCAUCCCUCUGCUGUUUCACUCUUUGAUACUCUCUGGAGCUCUCUGGGGAGGGGUGAGACCUGCUGUCUGCUUUGUACUGUUUGCCCAGGUCUUACAGUCAUGGCUGGCUCCUCUCUCUGAGAACUGGGACUCCUGAACUUGGUGAAAUACCUCAGCCAUCGAUCAUGUUAAAUUAUCGGGGACACUCAUUAAAAAUGUGAGUCUGCUCCAGAUGGACUCUCUCUCUUUCUGCCCUGACCGUGAGGGAGACCGUGAGAGAGAGAGACCGUGAGAGAGAGAAACCGUGAGAGAGACCAUCAGAGAGAGAAAGAGAGACCGUGCCCUGACCUGCUGGACAGUGGAGAUGCUUGUGGGCUGUGAGCAACAGAUGCAAGGGCUGCCGGGAAUCCCAUCUUUCCAGCAUCAUCUGCCAAGGCACAUCAGUUCCUGGGUGUCUUGAUGGGUUCUGGCAGCAUUACUGUCAUUGAAGGAAAACAUUUUAGCCAUAUUAAAGGUGAACUCAGCAAUCCCCACACAGCCUGCCUGGAAGGGACGCGGGACAAGGGUAGGUUCUCCCUGUGAUGGACAGGAGGCAGGCGACCCUCCCACAGCCCUACCUGGCAAUGCAGAUGUGUCCCCAAAAGGCACUGGGGGCAGCUGGAGUGCUGUGCCUAGGCGGGCUCACCCGGGCAGCGGUUCGCUCUGAUUGCAGUGGUUUCCCACCAGCUCCUUGGAGAGCUGGCAGAUGACCCAGCCCCACAGCAGGAGCCGGGAAUGGCAGAACGAGAUACAACAAUUUGAUAUCCACUUGCCAGAUGAGCCGGGUGUCCUCAGUCGCCUGGCUCUGUGCCCAACCUCUUUUUACAUAAACACUUAUGAAUUGAGCCAGGAGGAAAAGCACUCUGAUUAUGAAUUGAGCAGAAGGAAACAAAGUUCUGCAGAUAAACACCAAUGAAACAAAAAACCACGAAUAAGAAAAAUGACAGAAAAGGAGAACCUUCCCAGAAGCCUCCUGCCAGUGAACGGUCACCAGAGCAAGAGCAUGGAGGCCCUGGGUUUUGAACUGUGAGAUAAGGAAGAUGAUGAAAACCUCCCUAGCAGCCAGGCGCAGGAAUGAGAUGCAGCAGCUGGGGAAGCCAGGGUCUCUGGCAGUCCUUGUCUCUGGGCAGUGAUCCAGAGAGAGAACACGAUUGUCUCAGCACUGGAUCUUCUUCUGAGUCGUUUUGAAGGAGCAAUUGCAGAGCGUCUCGGUGUUAAACAUCAUGUUGUGAAUGACUCCGUGAUCUCUGACCCAGUGUCCUUGGGGAUAAAGGAGGGGAG
rnacentral:lncRNA from 10 species